rnacentral:lncRNA from 1 species
ACCCCACAGACGGAGAGUUGAGAAACACAAUAUCCCACAGAUGGAGAGUAACGAAACACAAUACCCCACAGAUGGAGAGUUGGGAAACACAAUACCCCACACACGGAGAGUUGGGAAACACAAUACCCCACAGAUGGAGAGUUGGGAAAACAAAUACCCCACACACGGAGAGUUGAGAAACACACUCCAUAGUGAUAGGUCAAAGGCUUGAAGCGUAUAG